rnacentral:rRNA from 1 species
UGCAAGUCGAGCGAGCGAGAGAGAGCUUGCUUUCUCGAGCGAGUGGCGAACGGGUGAGUAACGCGUGAGGAACCUGCCUCAAAGAGGGGGACAACAGUUGGAAACGACUGCUAAUACCGCAUAAGCCCACGGGUCGGCAUCGACCAGAGGGAAAAGGAGCAAUCCGCUUUGAGAUGGCCUCGCGUCCGAUUAGCUAGUUGGUGAGGUAAUGGCCCACCAAGGCGACGAUCGGUAGCCGGACUGAGAGGUUGAACGGCCACAUUGGGACUGAGACACGGCCCAGACUCCUACGGGAGGCAGCAGUGGGGAAUAUUGCACAAUGGGGGAAACCCUGAUGCAGCGACGCCGCGUGGAGGAAGAAGGUCUUCGGAUUGUAAACUCCUGUUGUUGAGGAAGAUAAUGACGGUACUCAACAAGGAAGUGACGGCUAACUACGUGCCAGCAGCCGCGGUAAAACGUAGGUCACAAGCGUUGUCCGGAAUUACUGGGUGUAAAGGGAGCGCAGGCGGGAAGACAAGUUGGAAGUGAAAUCUAUGGGCUCAACCCAUAAACUGCUUUCAAAACUGUUUUUCUUGAGUAGUGCAGAGGUAGGCGGAAUUCCCGGUGUAGCGGUGGAAUGCGUAGAUAUCGGGAGGAACACCAGUGGCGAAGGCGGCCUACUGGGCACCAACUGACGCUGAGGCUCGAAAGUAUGGGUAGCAA